UGCCUCUCAGGGUCUCCCCUGGGGAAUUUCCGGUAUUGUACCAGUCUUGACUAUGGGAGGGAGAGUCAAGCAGAGGCAUAUCCAUUCCAUUCCUAGCUUGGGCAGUGGCUAGCAAGUGGAAGACAAUCUGCUACAAGU